UACGAAGGGAGCUAGCGUUGUUCGGAAUCACUGGGCGUAAAGCGCACGUAGGCGGCUGUGUCAGUCAGGGGUGAAAUUCCGGAGCUCAACUUCGGAACUGCCUUUGAUACAGCACAUCUGGAGUCCGGAAGAGGUGGGUGGAAUUCCUAGUGUAGAGGUGAAAUUCGUAGAUAUUAGGAAGAACACCGGUGGCGAAGGCGGCCCACUGGUCCGGUACUGACGCUGAGGUGCGAAAGCGUGGGGAGCAAACAGG
rnacentral:rRNA from 1 species